rnacentral:lncRNA from 1 species
CUGUAGCAGCCCCGAAUCCAGGUCCCGAAUCGCCGCGGAUCCGGUUUGCUAUUUCUACAACUGUUGCGGAAGAUAUAAACAUAAAUUGUUUAUACAUUAAACUUUACACACUAUUCCCAAAAUCGAGUAACCUUAACUAAUACACAAUCGUGAACUGUCUAACACAUGACAAUACUAUUCUUCAACAUACUUUACAACUUAACUUCACAUUCUAUCCCAAG